AUGACUGCAGAAAAGCGUAUACCAUUACAUAUCUUACGUGAGAUUACAAAUGGAUUCUCAGAGCACUCAAGGAUUGGAAGGGGCGGGUAUGGAGACGUUUACAAGGGAGUUUACAGUGGGAGAGAGAUUGCUGUGAAGUUGCUUCAUGUUGAUACGGUGCUAGGACAUGAUGACAGACAAUAUAUCAAUGAAGUUGGUAACCUUUUGAGGGUUAAGCAUCCAAAUAUUGUACAGUUACUUGGUUAUUGUUAUGAAAUACAGAAUGAACUAAUUGAACACAAUGGUGCAAAUCAUUUUACCCGACACGUAUAUAGAGUCCUCUUCUUCGAGUACUUGCAGGGUGGAAGCCUAGACAAGCAUCUUUGUGAAGAAUCUUUUGCACCUGAUUGGAGCACGCGUUACAAGAUUAUAAAGGGGAUUUGUGAAGGAUUAAAUUUCCUUCACAGCUGUGAACCACCAAUCUUUCAUCUUGACCUGAAGCCUGCCAAUAUAUUACUAGACAGUUCCAUGGCGCCUAAACUGGCGGAUUUUGGUUUGUCAAGGCUCUUCGGUGGAUCACACACUCAUGUCACAAACAGAGUUGUAGGAACCGAGGCGUAUAUGCCACCAGAAUUCAUAAAAGACGCCUAUAUCGCCCAUAAGAAUGAUGUCUUCAGUUUAGGUCUUGUGAUGAUAGAGAUAAUUAAAGGGUCUUCAGGUUACUCCGGUUAUAUAGAAACAGACGAAGUCGGGCAAUUUACGCAAAAGGUGCUUGGCAAUUGGAAGAAUAGGAUAAAGGCUACUUCGGAGUACCCAUUAGAGGAAUCACAUCAAGUGCAGAUAUGCAUCGACACAGCAAUGCAUUGUGUUGAACCUGACAGAAACAAUCGACCUAAUAUAGCAGAAGUUCUGGAUAUUCUGAGAAAGACAGAAACUCAUAUGCCCAAGAGACAGCUCCUCAUUUCCCAGUCAUUUUGUUUUCCCGAUCCAAGGGAGAACACCAACAGCUGCUGGAGGCUGCAGCUGUGGCUUCCAGAAACGGUGGUGGGAGAGAGGAGAGGCAGAGAGGUGUUGCUCAGUGGCUGGUGCAGUAGAGUGGUGGAGGAGAAACGAGCUAGUGGAGGAGAUGAGUGUCCUCGGGGCGCCGCCGGAGGGGAAGAGGUGGUGGUGGAGAGCACUGGCUGCAUGAUGCUGCUCCGUAAGCAUCAACCUAGCGUUAGAAUCAUGGCACGCACAUUGUUUCUGCUUCAAUCAUGUCAUCACGUCACCCUCUUUCAGGACUAUGGCCUUGUUCGUGUAACGGUAUUGUCUUAG
rnacentral:rRNA from 1 species